rnacentral:rRNA from 1 species
UUGCUUCUCUGAUUUAGCGGCGGACGGGUGAGUAACACGUGGGCAACCUGCCCUGUAGACGGGGAUAACUUCGGGAAACCGGAGCUAAUACCGGAUAAUUCUUUUAGCCUCAUGGCUUUAAGCUAAAAGGCGCUUCGGCGUCACUACAGGAUGGGCCCGCGGUGCAUUAGCUAGUUGGUGGGGUAACGGCCUACCAAGGCAACGAUGCAUAGCCAACCUGAGAGGGUGAUCGGCCACAUUGGGACUGAGACACGGCCCAAACUCCUACGGGAGGCAGCAGUAGGGAAUCUUCCACAAUGGACGAAAGUCUGAUGGAGCAACGCCGCGUGAGUGAUGAAGGUUUUCGGAUCGUAAAACUCUGUUGUAAGGGAAGAACAAGUGCGUUAGGUAAUGAACGCACCUUGACGGUACCUUAUUAGAAAGCCACGGCUA